rnacentral:rRNA from 1 species
AUUGAACGCUGGCGGCAUGCUUUACACAUGCAAGUCGAACGGCAGCACAGGGAGCUUGCUCCCGGGUGGCGAGUGGCGCACGGGUGAGUAAUACAUCGGAACGUGUCCUGUUGUGGGGGAUAACUGCUCGAAAGGGUGGCUAAUACCGCAUGAGACCUGAGGGUGAAAGCGGGGGAUCGCAAGACCUCGCGCAAUUGGAGCGGCCGAUGCCCGAUUAGCUAGUUGGUGAGGUAACGGCCCACCAAGUCGACGAUCAGUAGGGGUUCUGAGAGGAAGGUCCCCCCANAUUGGAACUGAGACACGGUCCAAACUCCUACGGGAGGCAGCAGUGAGGAAUAUUGGUCAAUGGACGAGAGUCUGAACCAGCCAAGUAGCGUGCAGGAUGACGGCCCUAGUGGGUUGUAAACUGCUUUUAUAAGGGAAUAAAGUGAGUCUCGUGAGUACUUUUUGCAUGUACCUUAUGAAUAAGGACCGGCUAAUUCCGUGCCAGCAC